CACGUAGGGCGCAAGCGUUGUCCGGAAUUAUUGGGCGUAAAGAGCUCGUAGGCGGUCUGUUGCGUCCGCUGUGAAAACUCGGGGCUUAACCCCGAGCCUGCAGUGGAUACGGGCAGACUAGAGGUAGGUAGGGGAGAAUGGAAUUCCCGGUGUAGCGGUGGAAUGCGCAGAUAUCAGGAGGAACACCGGUGGCGAAGGCGGGUCUCUGGGCAGUAACUGACGCUGAGGAGCGAAAGCGUGGGGAGCGAACAGG
rnacentral:rRNA from 1 species